CACCUACCGCAGCCUUGAAUAGCAGGCCCCUUGGGGUCGCCCGGGGCGCGACUCUAAACAAGCCCGGGUCUACGGCCAUCCGUAGUGCUAGUUCCCUCUCCGCGGGAGAGGGGGCGACACCGUUGAAUUGCGGGGAGGCCCUAAAGGCCCCGGCGUCGCCGGAGGGCGAAGGCCCUUUGGUGGUUUGGACCGGCGGCAUGAGCCCUCAGGGGCGAAGUGGGUGACUCGCAGCCAUCUCGUCCGCGGUGCCUCGUGCUCCGUGGAGGGGUGGUCCACAGACUAAGCGACGGUGGGCGUGCGUUUUCACGUCUAAGAUAUAGUCGGACCCCGACUCGCGUUGGGGAUCGCGGUGCUGGGUGGCCCCCUCUUCGGGGCCAUUCGCGCCGGGCAUGUUCCGUAGGUGAACCUGCGGAAGGAUCAUUA
rnacentral:rRNA from 1 species